rnacentral:rRNA from 1 species
AAUUCCAGUACCACCGUGAACCGUUAUGAGCAAUGGGGUGACGCAGAAGGGGAAAGAUGCAGACGGAUGGAAGUGUCUGUGCAAGCAGUGAGGCUAAAGUGUAGGCAAAUCAGCACUUUGUUAGGCUAGGCUGUGAUGCGGAGGGAAAAUUACAGUACCGAAGAUCAUGUACUCAAGCUGCCAAGAAAAGCCUCUAGCCAGGGAGAAGGUGCCCGUACCGCAAACCGACACAGGUGGGCGAGAAGAGUAUUCUAAGGCGCGCGGAACAACUCUCGUUAAGGAACUCGGCAAAAUGCCCCCGUAACUUCGGGAGAAGGGGGGCCCCCAUCGUGAUGGACACUUGCUGUCCGGAGCGUGCAGGGGCCGCAGAGACCAGGGGGAAGCGACUGUUUACUAAAAACACAGGUCCGUGCGAAGUCGCAAGACGAUGUAUACGGACUGACUCCUGCCCGGUGCUGGAAGGUUAAGAGGACCGGUUAGCCGCAAGGCGAAGCUGAGAAUUCAAGCCCCAGUAAACGGCGGUGGUAACUAUAACCAUCCUAAGGUAGCGAAAUUCCUUGUCGGGUAAGUUCCGACCUGCACGAAUGGAGUAACGACUUCCCCGCUGUCUCAACCAUAAACUCGGCGAAAUUGCAGUACGAGUAAAGAUGCUCGUUACGCGCAGCAGGACGGAAAGACCCCGAGACCUUUACUAUAGUUUGGUAUUGGUGUUCGGAGUGGCUUGUGUAGGAUAGGUGGGAGACGUUGAAGCCCGGACGCCAGUUCGGGUGGAGUCAUCGUUGAAAUACCACUCUGGUCACUUUGGACAUCUAACUUCGGCCCGUAAUCCGGGUCAGGGACAGUGCCUGAUGGGUAGUUUAACUGGGGCGGUUGCCUCCUAAAAAGUAACGGAGGCGCCCAAAGGUUCCCUCAGCCUGGUUGGCAAUCAGGUGUCGAGUGUAAGUGCACAAGGGAGCUUGACUGUGAGAGAGACAUCUCGAGCAGGGACGAAAGUCGGGACUAGUGAUCCGGCGGUACAUUGUGGAAUGGCCGUCGCUCAACGGAUAAAAGGUACCUCGGGGAUAACAGGCUGAUCUUGCCCAAGAGUCCAUAUCGACGGCAUGGUUUGGCACCUCGAUGUCGGCUCGUCGCAUCCUGGGGCUGGAGUAGGUCCCAAGGGUUGGGCUGUUCGCCCAUUAAAGCGGUACGCGAGCUGGGUUCAGAACGUCGUGAGACAGUUCGGUCCCUAUCUGUCGUGGGCGCAGGAAAUUUGAGAGGAGCUGUCCUUAGUACGAGAGGACCGGGAUGGACGUUCCGCUGGUGUACCAGUUGUUCCGCCAGGAGCAUCGCUGGGUAGCCAAGAACGGACGGGAUAAGCGCUGAAAGCAUCUAAGCGUGAAGCCCCCCUCAAGAUGAGAUUUCCCAGUAUGUAAGACCCCUUGAAGACCACGAGGUUGAUAGGUUUGAGGUGGAAGCGCAGCAAUGUGUGGAGCUGACAAAUACUAAUCGGUCGAGGGCUUACCCCA